CUACGGGACGCACCAGUGGGGAAUAUUGGACAAUGGGCGCAAGCCUGAUCCAGCAAUGCCGCGUGAGUGAAGACGGCCUUAGGGUUGUAAAACUCUUUCGCUAGGGAAGAUAAUGACUGUACCUAGUAAAGAAGUCCCGGCUAACUCCGUGCCAGCAGCCGCGGUAAUACGGAGGGGACUAGCGUUGUUCGGAAUUACUGGGCGUAAAGAGUUCGUAGGCGGACUGACAAGUUAGAGGUGAAAUCCCAGGGCUCAACCCUGGAACUGCCUUUAAAACUGUCAGUCUAGAGACCGGAAGAGGUUAGGGGAAUACCUAGUGUAGGGGUGAAAUUCGUAGAUAUUAGGUGGAGCACCAGUGGCGAAGGCGCCUAACUGGUCCGGUACUGACGCUGAGGAACGAAAGCGUGGGGAGCAAACAGGAUUAGAUACCCGCGUAGUC
rnacentral:rRNA from 1 species